rnacentral:misc_RNA from 1 species
AGUGUAGCAUACUCCAGCGAAUAUUUCUUUCCGCCGGGAGAAUACGAGAGCGAAAUAUUAUUCGCCAAACGGGAAGAGGAGUUCCUGUGUCGCCGUUGUAAUCCUGUUCUGCGCGAAUCUGUCCCCGAAUUCUAUGACACACAGGUAUGUUAAUUGUGUCUUAAUCCAUUCCUCCGUCAGAGCCUCAUCUACAUUACGCGAUAUGCCUGGGUGAAUUACGCAAUGUGUCGGUAUGAAGGAUUUCAAAUUUUUUAUCAUGGAGUUGUUUUCUGUCACAGUUGUUUCACACGCUUUGCAGUCGUACCUGGAACCUUAACAACGGCUGGGCCCGCCAUGCUUACGUUAAGAAUAUGUCCCCGGAAGUCCAGAAGCGUGAAGAAAACACAGCGGCCGACAGUCAUCGGAUGAAAGAGCGUUUGGUUCGAACUCCGGGAGCUACUGGGCCCGGGUCCGCAGCUGUAAGGAAAGGUGACGUCCAAGACAGAGUUGGCCUUCAUAG